GUUUUUGUUAUCCUGAAGUGGCUGUUGUUGUUCUGAGUGGCUGUGGCAAUAUACACUUUUUAUUUCUUUUUAGCACAAAAUGUCUGUUGAUAUAAAUAUUCUGACAAUUUAAAAUUACAGAAGAUGGUAAAUGGGGUGAACUACCUAAAGUGAAUAUCCAACUGGCCCAGUUUUCUAAAAAAAAAUUACAAAUAUAUAUGUAUUAAGGCUGUUUGGCCUGUAUUUGUGGGAGGGGCUUAAAUUAAAUAACUCCCCUAUAAAAGGUACACCCCUUACCUGACUCCAUAACGAUCAAGGUCAGCGUCUGAAAGAACUUCUGGGUCAUCCAGUCGCCAUUUUGGAAUACCUCAGUCUUCUCACCAGGUCUUCCACGAUGAGCUGUGUCUAGGAAUCCAGCAGCAGGCCUUUUUCUGUCCGACCAGCUUCUUCCAUCGCCGUAGAUCAUGUCCUAGUGACUCACAAACCGUAAGUUGAC